GAGGACACGAAUACGGUGAACAGUGGGACUUGUCUUCAGCUUCAGGUGGAACAGCUCUGACCUGUAUGGUGAUCAGACCCGGAGAGGAGACACACCUGGUCCAACCAGGUGAUGGACAGUUGAAAGGACGAAUCACCAAGAUGAGCCAAUCAAUGGAGACGAGCCGCCACAGGAGCCUGAACCUGUACUUCACGAGGGGGAUCAAACAUGGCUGAUAUAUCUGCAGUUCACUGCUCGUUUCUCCAGAACGAGAGCAGCCAGGAGCUGAAAGUUGUGGGCAG